rnacentral:rRNA from 1 species
UGCGCAGGCGGGCUAUUAAGUCAGUGGUGAAAUCUCUCGGCUCAACCGAGAAACUGCCAUUGAAACUGAUAGUCUUGAGUAUGGUUGUGGUAGGCGGAAUAUAGCAUGUAGCGGUGAAAUGCUUAGAUAUGCUAUAGAACACCGAUCGCGAAGGCAGCUUACCAAACCAUUACUGACGCUCAUGCACGAAAGCGUGGGGAGCAAACAGGAUUAGAUACCCUGGUAGUCC